rnacentral:rRNA from 1 species
UGGGGAAUUUUGGACAAUGGGCGAAAGCCUGAUCCAGCAAUGCCGCGUGUGUGAAGAAGGCCUUCGGGUUGUAAAGCACUUUUGUCCGGAAAGAAAUCCUUGGCUCUAAUACAGUCGGGGGAUGACGGUACCGGAAGAAUAAGCACCGGCUAACUACGUGCCAGCAGCCGCGGUAAUACGUAGGGUGCAAGCGUUAAUCGGAAUUACUGGGCGUAAAGCGUGCGCAGGCGGUUUGCUAAGACCGAUGUGAAAUCCCCGGGCUCAACCUGGGAACUGCAUUGGUGACUGGCAGGCUAGAGUAUGGCAGGAGGGGGGUAGAAUUCCACGUGUAGCAGUGAAAUGCGUAGAGAUGUGGAGGAAUACCGAUGGCGAAGGCAGCCCCCUGGGCCAAUACUGACGCUCAUGCACGAAAGCGUGGGGAGCAAACAGGAUUAGAUACCCUGGUAGUCCACGCCCUAAAGCGUAUGUCAACUAGUUGUUGGGGGACUUCAUUUCCUUAGUAACGUAGCUAACGCUGAAGUUGACCGCCUGGGGAGUACGGUCGCAAGAUUAAAACUCAAAUGAAUUGACGGGGUCAUAGCUG